UACGAAGGGGGCUAGCGUUGCUCGGAAUGACUGGGCGUAAAGGGCGCGUAGGCGGAUGGCACAGUCAGAUGUGAAAUUCCCGGGCUUAACCUGGGGGCUGCAUUUGAUACGUGUUGUCUUGAGUUCGGAAGAGGGUCGUGGAAUUCCCAGUGUAGAGGUGAAAUUCGUAGAUAUUGGGAAGAACACCGGUGGCGAAGGCGGCGACCUGGUCCGACACUGACGCUGAGGCGCGAAAAGCGUGGGGAGCAAACAGG
rnacentral:rRNA from 1 species